UUUCGGGAUUCACUGUUUAUACUUAUAAGCUUCGACAAACAUGAUAAGGUGGCCUUAGACUGAGUAAAAAACAUAGAGCCAUCGUAACACAAAUUUCACAUUAUUGUGCGUUCAAUGGAAUCAAAUUUACAGAUGAUACAUACACAUGCAUCUCUGUGCAUGAUCUGCGUCUAUUAGAAUUUCUGGAACGAUGCAUGUUUGGUAAAGCUUUUGUUUGCUUAAAAGCUUGUCAAAUUUCAUUUUUAACCCCUUUCCUCUGUAUUCCAUUCCAAAUAUUUUUAACAUCAUUCCACCGACUGACUGCUCUGUACACAUUCGCUAGAAGUACUCGGCUCAAAUUAUAAUUGAGGUCUCAAUUCCAUCAUUUUCUUAGCAACUGUAGGUCUUGUCCUUGUGGUACAAGUGCCAAGCAGAGCAGCCCAAGGAGAUGAGUCGUUACUAAAUUUGGAAUUUUAGUUGAAUCUCAGCUUCUUCUAUCUUCCCAGCCAAGCCAAUGAGAUAGACCAUGCAACUAUAAUGCUCAAUUCCAACUUUAAUCCCAUAAUCCGUACUCAUUGAGAUGAGUACUCUCGCUCUUGAUCAACCAAACCACUGUAUUUGUGUCUGCAAGCAAAAAGCACGCGUUUGAAGCUUACAUAAUCCGGCCUGACACCACCUUGAAUCAUAUUGUUGAAUAUUCUAAUUGCUUCUUCACCUCUGCCAUUCUGAGCAAAUCCGUUAAACCAUUGAAUUCCAUGUAAUUGAAUUUCUAAGAUGCGUAGUCUUGAAAAUCCUAUAUGCAAAGUUCAAAAAGCUCCAUUUUGCGUACAAAUCAACUAAAGCUGAUUCAACUACAUCCUUCCUACCACCUCUCUUCAGGCACUUGCAAUGUACCUCCUUUCAACAGCAGUCAAACCAGCACAGGAACGUAGAACGUCCCAGAACUAUAGAGAUCAACCUCCAUACUUCUGGAAGAAUGAACAACGGUUUCAACCCUUUUGACAAUGUCCCCCAAGCAACUUGCACCAUGAAACUGAAUUCUUCUUAUCCAUUUGAUCAAAUGCACUCCGUGACUCAUUUACUAACCCACAUUUCGCGUUUAUCAAUGAGACUACUCUCCACGAAAAUAUCAUCCUUACAAAAACCACUGUGAGAACCUUAGCAUGCAGUUCUUUACCUUGCUUUAACCUCCCUAAAUCUCCUAAAGCAGUCAAAAUACUACCAAAUGUAUACCCAUCUGGCGAAAACCUUAAUUCCUACGCAUAAAAUGAUCAAUUGCAAAGCCUGAGCAUAUAAAUCGCUCAUCGUGAGUGCAGAAAUCAUUGAAGUCCAACAAAUAAAGUCUGGUUCGAGCAUUUUAUCGAACAUCUUAAGCGAAUAAUCAAUGCGCUGAUAAUCAAAUUAUUAAAUCCAAAGCCAAAUUUAAUGACCGCCGCGUGGAAACAUUUCCCCAUGCUCAACUCCCUGAACACCGUAGACGCCCUCGUCACAGGCAGAUAAAGUGAACGCAUUCGGCCGUACCAAAAUCAAGCAUACCCAAAUACAGCAGGAUCUCGUAUCUAAAAGAGGUCCAAGAUACAGCAUCCUUAUAAUACAACCCAUCAAUCAGAAAAGUUGGGACCCAAUUUGAAGUAAAGGACAAGAAGGCUGUUGCCCACACAACAGUCGAUUUCUAGGCCAGAUUUGAGCACAUAGCAGUGAAGCUGGAGGCCGAGGUUAAAUGAGUACGCUUUGGUGCAUGCUUGAAUAAUGGUAGGAUUUGUUUUGAUGUGAUACUGUUUUGGGGUUGGUGGGAGGUUAUCUUUAUGGAGUUGAGGAGGCCAAUGGCAUAAAAAACAAAGCCUGAGCUACAAAAUUGAAUAAUUUGCGAUGUUGUGGAUAAGCAGGUGAGUGAGAGGUGUAAUGGCGUUUCGAGA
rnacentral:lncRNA from 1 species